GUUGCAAAACGUUCUAUCGCUGCUUUGCCUUCGGGCGGGCGGAGGAAAGUCCGGGCAACACAGAGCGUCCUGCUUCCUAACGGGAAGGCAUCGUACCAGCCGGUGACAGCAAGUGCCACAGAAAAAAUACCGCCUCAACUUGUUGGGGUAAGGGUGAAAACGUGAGGUAAGAGCUCACGGCAUUACCGGGCGACCGGGAUGACGGUAAACCUCAGGAGUUGAAAAACCAAAUAGGUCCCAAAUUUAAAGCUGCUCGCUUUUAUAUGUUGCUUGCAACAUGGUUGGGAUGGGUAGGUUGUUAGAGCCUGGCAGCAAUGUUCAGGAACAGAUUAAUGAUAGAAAUUGCCCAUCAGGGCAACACAGAACCCGGCUUACAGCUUUGCUGCUGGU
rnacentral:RNase_P_RNA from 1 species